rnacentral:rRNA from 1 species
AACGAACGCUGGCGGCAUGCCUAACACAUGCAAGUCGAACGAGACCUUCGGGUCUAGUGGCGCACGGGUGCGUAACGCGUGGGAACCUGCCCUUAGGUUCGGAAUAACUCCCCGAAAGGGGUGCUAAUACCGGAUAAUGUCUUCGGACCAAAGAUUUAUCGCCUUUGGAUGGGCCCGCGUUGGAUUAGCUAGUUGGUAGGGUAAAAGCCUACCAAGGCGACGAUCCAUAGCUGGUCUGAGAGGAUGAUCAGCCCCACUGGGACUGAGGCACGGCCCAGACUCCUACGGGAGGCAGCAGUGGGGAAUAUUGGACAAUGGGCGAAAGCCUGAUCCAGCAAUGCCGCGUGAGUGAUGAAGGCCUUAGGGUUGUAAAGCUCUUUUACCCGGGAUGAUAAUGACAGUACCGGGAGAAUAAGCACCGGCUAACUACGUG